CGUGUAGGCGGCCCUGCAAGUCGGGUGUGAAAUCCCAUGGCUCAACCAUGGAAGUGCACUCGAAACUGCAGGGCUAGAGUCCUGGAGAGGAAGGUGGAAUGCUUGGUGUAGAGGUGAAAUUCGUAGAUAUCAAGCGGAACACCGGUGGCGAAGGCGGCCUUCUGGACAGUGACUGACGCUGAGCGCGAAGCGUGGGAGCAAACA
rnacentral:rRNA from 1 species